GCGGCAGGCCUAACACAUGCAAGUCGAACGCCCCUUCGGGGGAGUGGCAGACGGGUGAGUAACACGUGGGAACCUACCCAGGAGUACGGAAUAACUCAGGGAAACUUGAGCUAAUACCGUAUACGUCCUUCGGGAGAAAGUUUUAACGCUCUUGGAUGGGCCCGCGUCGCAUUAGCUAGUUGGUGGGGUAAUGGCCUACCAAGGCUUCGAUGCGUAGCUGGUCUGAGAGGAUGAUCAGCCACACUGGGACUGAGACACGGCCCAGACUCCUACGGGAGGCAGCAGUGGGGAAUCUUGGACAAUGGGCGCAAGCCUGAUCCAGCCAUGCCGCGUGAGUGAUGAAGGCCCUAGGGUUGUAAAGCUCUUUCACCGGUGAAGAUAAUGACGGUAGCCGGAGAAGAAGCCCCGGCUAACUCCGUGCCAGCAGCCGCGGUAAUACGGAGGGGGCUAGCGUUGUUCGGAAUUACUGGGCGUAAAGCGCACGUAGGCGGGUAUCCAAGUUGGGGGUGAAAUCCCGGGGCUCAACCCCGGAACUGCCUCCAAAACUGGGUACCUAGAGUCCGAGAGAGGUGAGUGGAAUUCCCAGUGUAGAGGUGAAAUUCGUAGAUAUUGGGAAGAACACCAGUGGCGAAAGGCGGCUCACUGGCUUCGGUACUUGACGCUGAGGUGC
rnacentral:rRNA from 1 species